rnacentral:rRNA from 1 species
UACGUAGGGGGCGAGCGUUACCCGGAUUUACUGGGCGUAAAGCGCGUGUAGGCGGCUGGUCAAGCGUGGUGUGAAAUCUCCGGGCUCAACCCGGAAACUGCAUUGCGAACUGACCUAGCUGGAGUGCAGGAGAGGGCAGCGGAAUUCCCGGUGUAGCGGUGAAAUGCGCAGAUAUCAGGAGGAACACCGGUGGCGAAGGCGCCACUCUGGGCCGAAACUGACGCUGAGGAGCGAAAGCGUGGGUAGCAAACAGG